AGCAUUCUAUCAUAUCCACAGGUCACAAUUGGUUAUUGUCAUCUCCCUACUGGUGGACAUUAGGUGACCUCUGGUUUGGGGGCUGUAACAGAUGCAGCUACAAUGAAACAAACUGUUAUUCAAUGAUUGCUCAAGACCAUUUUCUGCAAAGGGCUUUGAGUCUGGUGCUUGCAGGUCGCUGUUGCUGAGUCCCUACUUUCUCUAAAUGCUGUGUGACCAUCUGGAAAUGGAAGGUCUCACAGAGACAAGAGGAAAUGACUAAGGAGAGAUCUUCAUUAAACACCAAAAUAGUGUC